rnacentral:rRNA from 1 species
CGUCUAAUCCCGUGCCACCAGGCGGGGUAAUACUGAUGGGGCAAGCGGUAAUCGGAAUCACUGGGGUUAAAGGUCAUGUAGGCGGGUUACUAAGUCAGAAGUGAAAUCCAAUAGCUUAACUAUUGAACUGCUUUUGAAACUGUUAACCUAGAGUGUGGGAGAUGUAGAUGGAAUUUCUGGUGUAGGGGUAAAAUCCGUAGAGAUCAGAAGGAAUACCGAUUGCGAAGGCGAUCUACUGGAACAUUACUGACGCUGAGAUGCGAAAGCGUGGGGAGCAAACAGGAUUAGAUACCCGGUAGUC